CCCUCUCUCCCUCUCUCCCCCUCUCUCCCUCUAUCUUUCUCUUCAAUGCUGAAAGAAUGGUUCUGAGUGGGUGCCAAUUUGAUAGAUUAAGUCACUGAAGGGCUAAUUGUUUUACAGAAACACCCAGGUUACAUAUUUUAUUUCUCCACAAUGAACUGCAUCCAGCAUAAACCUCUGUAUAAAUAAUUUUGUAAGUAACGGAAUGAAUUGCUUAUCAUUGUUUAACAAAACUAUUUAAUCUUUUAAAUAAUGGUCCAUCUGCAUUUCUGCUAGUACCUAAUUACAGUUUUUACAUUUUUAUAAUUUUUGUUAAUUUUUUGUUUAAACAAAAAAAAGAGAAUUUUAAAAAUAUUAUUUGCAUGACUGCCUGGGCUGAUUAUAAUUAUAGCAGCGUACCCAUUUGGUACACAAGAUGUUUGUUAUGUUUGUUGAUUAUUAGCUGUUUGCACCAGUUUUAAUUUGUUUCAUUGCUGUUGUUUCAAUUUUCCACCUCUUCAUCUGUUUGCUGUGUGUUCAUGAGCAGAGAGAUUGAUUGAUGUCGAGAAGACUGAGUGACAUACUUUGCAUGCAAUGCAGGGUCAAACUUCUCUGGGUACUUGGGUGAACGGUGCAGAUACAGUAUUUGCUACAUGUUAGCCUUGUGUAAUUUAGUUCCAUUGAAGUGACUGAUGGAAACGCAACUGUAUCUGUCUAAUUGCAUUUAGCACAAGAGGCUGAGGUGGAAUUCUCUCCCAUGCACUUCACUGGUUCAAGCUGGCCUCUGUGUAAGCCAGUGUCCAACACUCGCAAACUGUUAAUUGCAGAAGCCCUUUAUGUAGAGAUUUCUGUAACUGCAAACUCCUUCAACAACCAGAAAUAUCUUCCUCCAUUCCAUCAAUUACCAGCAGUGGGUUUUUUCACAUUGCAAUCGCUAGCUGGUUUAUACAGCAAUUUGAUUAGUUACCUUAAGUGUUAUAAGUCUGUUUCGGAAGGAAAUGGCUCUGAAAGAAAAAAAUAAUUAUAGUUCAAAUAUGAUGCAGGACAGUGCUCAGUGCAAUGAAGGACAUAAGAUGAUUUUUUAAAAAUGAACCUGACAUCAAUAUCACACAGAGCCAAGAACAAAUUAGUAUAAAUCUUGUCCCAUGAACACUUUUCACUAUGCCAGUCAUGGUCUAUAAAUCCGCUGAACCUUUUUCUUUAUAGCAGAACAAUACCCCGUCCAAGUAGCAAUUAGUGCUCAGCUUCUCAGCGGGAAUUCAUCAGCAAAUAACCUUCCUGAGAUCUUAAAAUAAAAUCCACAUUAUAUUCCUACAUGAAUGCAGAAUCAUCAUCACCAUCACCAAAGUAGAACUGAGCAUCAACCAUCGGCUUGCUAACACUCUAGUGAUCUGUCCUUUGUUUUUUACCUUCAUGGUGUCGCUAUUGGGGAAAAUAUCCAUUAAGCCAAACUGUACUUUGUGAACGCUAACCUACAGUUCACAUCGUAUAGUUCUUUAUGAGUAAAUAAUACUUGGUUUAAUUUUGCAAACCGGCCUCAUUAUACCUUGAUAUCCUAGCCUCUGAGUUGUCUCUGAGGUCCUGACUAAACUGUUAAUAUUAUUUAAUUUUAUAUAUCUUCCUUUGGAAGCUGCCUGAUCUUUACAAUAUUGUCAUUCUUGCAUACUUAAGCUUCUUUGUUGUAGUUGUAGUGUCAGAUACAGUAAAUAUAAUUGUGUCAGCACACCCCUAGCCUAAGAGACAAAGCUUAUUGUUCUAACCAGGAAAUCCUAUUUUGAACCUACAUGAUGGCACAGUCACAGAACCAGACUGGUUGGGAUGUUCAUUUUUUACAGUCUUGUUUGUACCGAGGGAAGUCGUAGGCUAAAAAUCCCUGCCAAAUGCCACAACUUGUCUAUUCUUUAGACGAGGUUUACUAUUUUGAUUUGGGUUCGUCCUGUGAGGCAGUGGAUUUUGUCUUUUGUAAGAAUUAGAUCUUACAGAUUUCUUACAGGCUUGAAAUGUUGGGAGCUGUUUCAUCUGGCUGGAGAAUGUAGAAUCUGUUAUCUUGUUCUUGGGAUCAAAGAUUGUCUUUUAAACCUAUAUCAUCUGCAAUCUUUCAGAUUCUCUCCCCUAAAUAGGUUAGUUUUCACAUAUACCUAAAUGUUCACCCAUGUCAUGCGUUUUCUGGGGAAAACAUCUAAUAUAAUAAAUUUGAGAUUUAUUUAGAAUG